rnacentral:rRNA from 1 species
UACGGGGGGGCAAGCGUUGUUCGGAAUUACUGGGCGUAAAAGGGCUCGUAGGUGGCCAACUAAGUCAGACGUGAAAAUCCCUCGGCUUAACCGGGGAACUGCGUCUGAUACUGGAUGGCUAGAGUUUGGGAGAGGGAUGCGGAAUUCCAGGUGUAGCGGUGAAAUGCGUAGAUAUCUGGAGGAACACCGGUGGCGAAGGCGGCAUCCUGGACCAACACUGACG